CUGCUGCCUCCCGUAGGAGUUUGGACCGUGUCUCAGUUCCAAUGUGGGGGACCUUCCUCUCAGAACCCCUACUGAUCGUCGCCCCGGUGGGCCGUUACCCCGCCGGCAAGCUAAUCAGACGCAUCCCCAUCCUUUACCGGCCGAAGCCUUUGGUCAUGAAAAUAUGCAUCAACAUGACAACAUACGGUAUUAAUCCGCCUUUCGACGGGCUGUCCCAUAGUAAAGGGCAGGUUGGAUACGCGUUACUCACCCGUGCGCCGGUCGCCA
rnacentral:rRNA from 1 species